AUUGAACGCUGGCGGCAGGCUUAACACAUGCAAGUCGAGCGGGGAUUGGGUGCUUGCACCUAAUCUUAGCGGCGGACGGGUGAGUAAUGCUUAGGAAUCUGCCAUUUAGUGGGGGACAACAUUCCGAAAGGGAUGCUAAUACCGCAUACGCCCUACGGGGGAAAGCAGGGGAUCUUCGGACCUUGCGCUAAAUGAUGAGCCUAAGUCGGAUUAGCUAGUUGGUGGGGUAAAGGCCUACCAAGGCGACGAUCUGUAGCGGGUCUGAGAGGAUGAUCCGCCACACUGGGACUGAGACACGGCCCAGACUCCUACGGGAGGCAGCAGUGGGGAAUAUUGGACAAUGGGGGGAACCCUGAUCCAGCCAUGCCGCGUGUGUGAAGAAGGCCUUUUGGUUGUAAAGCACUUUAAGCGAGGAGGAGGCUACCUGGAUUAAUACUCUAGGAUAGUGGACGUUACUCGCAGAAUAAGCACCGGCUAACUCUGUGCCAGCCGCCGCCGUAA
rnacentral:rRNA from 1 species